ACUUGCUUCGGCAGGAUAUAUUCUAAAAUUGGAAUGAUACAGACAAGAUUAACAUGGUCCCUGCCCAAGGGUAGCUCGGAAUUUCGUAAAGCGUUCCAUAUUUUG
rfam:Octopus bimaculoides Scaffold40730_contig_1, whole genome shotgun sequence.